UUGACAACUCUGAAAAGGGAAGAAUUUUUUUUAUUCACAUACCAGAUAAAAAGCGUGGGCAGUGGCAGUCAAAGCUUCUCUCAUGCUGUUUCCUUCCAGAUGGUUUGGUCUUGUCCUUUUGGUACUUGCCUCCAGUGGUGAGAGGUAGUUCAGGUUUCCUAGCCUGUUCAGCCUUUAGUCUCU
rnacentral:sRNA from 1 species